GCCCCUAUGGCGUAGUGGUAGCGCGUGUCACUUGUAUUAACAGGUUAUGACAAGGUCUCUCGUUCGAUCCGGGAUGGGGGCA